AGAGUUUGAUCCUGGCUCAGAACGAACGCUGGCGGCAGGCCUAACACAUGCAAGUCGAGCGCCCCGCAAGGGGAGCGGCGGACGGGUGAGUAACGCGUGGGAAUUUUCCUCAAGGUACGGAACAACUCAGGGAAACUUGGGCUAAUACCGUAUGAUGUCUAGCGACCAAAGAUUUAUCGCCUUGGGAUAAGCCCGCGUCAGAUUAGGUAGUUGGUGGGGUAACGGCCUACCAAGCCUGCGAUCUGUAGCUGGUCUGAGAGGACGAUCAGCCACAUUGGGACUGAGACACGGCCCAAACUCCUACGGGAGGCAGCAGUGGGGAAUCUUGCGCAAUGGGCGAAAGCCUGACGCAGCCAUGCCGCGUGAAUGAUGAAGGUCUUACGAUUGUAAAGUUCUUUCGCCCGUGACGAUGAUGACGGUAACGGGAGAAGAAGCCCCGGCUAACUUCGUGCCAGCAGCCGCGGUAAUACGAAGGGGGCUAGCGUUGUUCGGAAUUACUGGGCGUAAAGCGCGCGUAGGCGGUUUUGCAAGCCAGAGGUGAAAUGCCUGAGCUCAACUUACGAAUUGCCUUUGGGACUGUGAGGCUUUGAGGACUGGAGA
rnacentral:rRNA from 1 species